rnacentral:misc_RNA from 1 species
AAAUCAGAACAACAAUUAUAUCAGGACUAAAUUGCCAUGUUUAAUGUAAAUAAAUCCUCCUCAACAAUAAACAAUCUUCUAUUCUAGAUCCUGUUCAGAGGCACAAUAUAUAUUCAUCUUUGCCCACCAGAAUUAAAGUAAAUAAAUCCUCCUCAACAAUAAACAAUCUUCUAUUCUAGAUCCUGUUCAGAGGCACAAUAUAUAUUCAUCUUUGCCCACCAGAAUUAAA